AAACAAGCAAAAGAAAAACGUAAAAACAAGCAAAAGAAAAAAAAUGUAAAAGCAAGCUCACGUCGUUCAUGCUUCUUCCUCUUCUCCUUCCUCGAAUUGUUUCGAAAAACGGAGACCCAGAAUAUAAAGUAUUACGAAAAAUAGGGAUCAUGGUGUAAUUUCUCAAUCUAAGUCGCUCCUCAGUUUCGUGUUUUGCGUGUUGCUGAUUUGCAAUGUUUGAGGGAAGCUCAGUGCAACGUUUGAGGGAAGCUCAGGGGAAUUUGUAAGGUUUGAUCUCUAAUUUCUCUCAUCUCUCAUGGGAAUUUGUAAGGUUCUAAUUCUCCAACCCUUCUUUUCAAUGUCUUUCCUUUGUGGUUUUGGUCAUGAGAUCUGAGUUGUUGGAUGACGAGUGUACGACUCUGUAUUGAAGAAUUUUGUUGGUGAUCCCUUUAUUAAAUUGGAUUUUUUGGGCUUCCGGUAGCGUGAUUUUGAAUAAGCUUAUGCGAUUUCGUUCACUUCAAUCACUUUCCGUUCUAUAGCAUCAAUCUUUGGAGCAGUAUACAUAUUCUCAUUCGUCUUUUACGGCCAACAAACCCAGCUCCCUUGACUGGAUGGAGACAAUUCCUGUAGCUGGUAAAACUCUUCCUACUUUGUCUGGAUCUUUUUUUGUGCUAAUCAUCUCAAAAUUCUUUUACCAAACGAAGAGAAUUUGGGGUUUAGGGAUUUUUAAAAAACGAUGAAUUAGUGUUUACUUCUCUAUUUGAGAUGAAUUAUUUGCAUAUUUAUUCUAAAUAUGCUUUUGACAAAUUCCCUGCUUAUAAGCUAUUAAGUCCUGCCAGGUUGGGGAUCUUCCAUGAUUAGCGCAUGGAAUAAAGUUUUAGCUCCAACAUACCUCAAGAUGACAUAGUUGAUCUAAUAUUCAUAUUUGCAACUUUGUUACAGUGAGGCACAAAAAGCCAGGGUAAUGGAUCAAAUAGAGAAGAUUCAUCAGGAUAUGGAGGAGCUUCCAUGCACUGGAAACACUGUUUUAGUCUUCUGAUACUCUAUUAUCCUAAUUGAAAUUCAGGUUUUGCAGCAGUGGAAAAUGAAGGUUUGGUGAUAGAGGGACUUUUACUAUAUGAAGUGGUAUAGGCCCUGUUGUUAUAAAUGGGGGUAUCUUCUGGAUGUAAUCGACUUGGUGUCCAGUAGAAGAUUUAUAAUUGAGACCAAAAAGGGUUAAGAUUGAUGCAAAUGAAAUUAAUGGGGCAAGAUUUACGGUGAAUUUUUCGGGCCUUCAUGCACGUGUCUUUCAUCAUGAAUUUGACCAUUUACAGGCAUUGGAUUGUUCAAGAUAGGCCUGAAGUUGUUGCUUAAUUUCUGACCUUAGGAUGCAGGAUGUCUCUCUUUUAACGUUUUGCUGAAGUUAUGGGUUGAAUUUAGUUCUCAUUAUCUCAGGUGGGACAGAGGUGCAUGAGGUGUGGCAAUCUUUUGGUUUUGGCUCUAUUCUUGAGAAAAUAGCUACAAUGAAAGCAAGUUUGUGGGAUUUUACAUUCUAUAUGCUACAUUGUUACCAUUUUUAUUCACUCCAUUGUUUGCCAUUUGCAAUUUCUUAAAUGUUUUGAUACGAAUGGUUGGUCACAUGCACUUUCCUCUCGGUGGAAUAUUUAUAAUAUUGGUGAGUAUGGUAGGCGAAUGGUAA